CAUGGGGCUGUGUGCCUGUCAAGAAAACAACGAAUGUUGAUUAUUUGAAGCUCUGAAAGAGCACUGUUAAAACAACCAUGACUAGAGUUGGGAGUGUAAAACACGGCAGUGCCUGGGAAUCUGCUCUUCGGUGGUUACAGCAGAAUGUAACCCAGCUAGGUGCUCAAACAUUCCAGGCCUGGAAGAACUGACAAAAGGCUUUAGAGUCAUCACAACUGGCAAACUCAAAGCUCCACUGGCAGCUAGAGGGCUGUUGAAACAAGAUCUGCUGCAACACGUCCUCGAGAGAGAGCAAGCAAGCAAGCAUUUCAACAGCUUUAGGAAGCUUCUAGGCAGGGGUAGGGGAAGGCCUACCACAACACUAAAAGCUGUGCAAGAAAAUACAGAAGAGAAUGCAUCCUCUCAGGCAAAAAAGACCAUGGGGACCAGACACCAAUAAAAACAAAUGACCCAGGUGAUCCAACAUCUCAGAACACCUCUGUUGAAAUUUCCUUAGAGAUCUGCAUCUAGAACAACUUCAAGACUGAUAACUGCGAUGGUCCAGCCUUCCAGACUACUACAAACAGGACUUGGCCAUUAUCCUGAUGUAUUUCAGGUUCCCCCAAAAUGCCAGUGCCCCCAGACAAUAGGAAACAGCCUAGAAAAAAACAAUGCCCACAUUCCCAAGGGAUAGAUUAUGUAUGUUUGUCAUUAUUUAUGGAGGGUUGGUUACAAGUUGUUAUUGGUCAUGGUCAAGGAAAAAGCUAAACAAAGGAGCUUAGAUUAGGGAUCUCUUUUCUGAAAAGAAAAAAGGGGGGAUAUAGAAAUGACAGAAUAAAUGGGUAGAUUAUUGAAUCUAGUUUUAAACUAAUAAAAACAACUACUAGUCUUAAAUAUUUUAUAUUGAUAUGGAUUUUGGUUAAUUGAUAUAAUUUUAAAGUUAUUUUGUUAUACUGUGUAUGUUUCUACUCUUGUUUGGGAUAUUGUGCUUAUGCAGCUCAUUAAAAAUAUAUUAUAUAAUUAAGAAAUACAGCAUAGUAUUUAGUCAUCUAUAAUAAAGUUGUAGUCAUAUUAGGCAUGUUUUCAAGGUUAAACAGAUAUAUUUAGCUAGGUAGACAGUCUUCAAAAACUUCAAAGACCAAAACAGAACAUAGCAUUUAAGAUGUCUAAUAAACUGAGGCUUUUCAUGACAGUGAGAUACAUCUGCACUGGCUUGUGUGCGGUGGUCCAUGCUUUAAAUCCCAGUAUUCAAAGGCAGAGGUAGAGAGAUUUCCAUGAGUUUGGGGCCAGCCUGGUCUGCAUAGUGAGAUAUCAUAGUGCAUAUCUCAAAACCAAAACACAGAAUAAUAUACUCUAUAUUUUAAUGCAUAACUCAAAAGCAAUAACAAGUUAUAUGUUUUUGUUUACUUAUGCUGGAAGGUCUCACUGUGCUGCCU
rnacentral:lncRNA from 1 species